AUCAGAUGUUGAAAGCCUAGUUGUCACGAUAUUGAAGACACUUAUUGUCAAUUCGGUUGACCGUGUAAGGUGCCCAUAACAAAACCGUUGCGGCGCAUCAUCUCCAUCGAGCCACCGCAGCGGAUGGGGAACCGUACAACAGUGAUUUUGGAACCGUACACACCCGCCCCGCCCUGUGUGUUUUAUAUAAUACACAUUCCAUUAUCGAGGCUCCGCGGCGGUCUGUCAUUGCAAAAUCCGCGCGGGAGAGCCGUCCAGUGUGUUCUUACGCUUAGUGGAGUAAAGUGCGCUACACAUACAGCGUCCCGUCACCGUGAAGUCAACGUAAAGGAAUGAGAUGUCAAAUAUUCUCCCAUGGAAAUCAUAUGGUAGCAUUCACAUACAUCAUCACCGGCAACUUUGACGUCGGCAAAAUAGGUCCAAGAGAAUAAUUGACGGGGCGGUGACGGUGACGCUGUUUCUUCUCGCUGAUCGUUAGCCACAAAAGGACCAUUUUUGGGAACUUGGAGUAGAAGAUAUAUUUGACGACAUCGCUUACUUACUUGGAGGGGAACGUAAAGUACCCAGUCCCCUAUCAGUGGUUGCUUUCCAGCGUGAGUCACGCAACACCGUUGGCCGGCCAAACCCAGGAUUACAUUUGACGCUCUCGUUUCCUCCAGAGAGGAGACGAUGUCAUAAAUGCCGUAUAGGCUAUAUCCGGCGAACACAAACUGCCUCACGAUAUCCAACUUCUUCGCUCCGGGGUGGAGCUGGCGGUGCAAAUAAAGCAUCGAGCGUAGUUGCUUAAUUGUUGCUGCUGCUGCUUCAGAUCGACUGAUAAGAGCGUCGAAGCAUAUUUGUAGAAUGAUUAAUAAACAUAUGAUUUGUUGAAAAUUUA